UUUUAGGGUUCUAGCCGUAGAAUGGGACAUUGUGCGAGGCGAGCUUCGACUUCAUUCGAUGUGAGGAACACCUGAAACUGGCAUUGAGGUAAACUGGAGUAGGUUCAAAAGAACUAAUGUUGUCCUCAGAGAGCUGAUCUUUGGCUGAUCAACACGUGUACUGUGAAAGCUCCGGAUAGCUGGAUGUGUUCCUCAGGGUUUAAAAGAUCUCAAAGCCAUCAGCAUCAUCUGAGUGCAGCAAAUACAGCGGGGGAGACUUUGAAAGGCCACGAGGCCUGGCUGCUUCGACAGGAUGCUUUACCGUCUCUUGAUUUGCCAAAAGUUUAUAAUCACUUUUGCUCUUGUGUUUUCAGGUUCGUAAGAACAAGUUUGUCGAGAUCAUUCCUAUCAACGUUGGCUGCUUGGGUGCUUGCACAUACUGCAAGACGAAGCAUGCUCGCGGGCAUCUUGGCAGCUACACAGUAGACACACUAGGAAGGACCUUCGCCAGUUUCUUUUCUCUGCUACUGAGCUUUAUCUACAGGUGCAAAGAUUGAAAACUGUGGUGUCUGAAGGUGUGAAGGAGAUAUGGCGACACUGGAGCUUGUUACAUGACACACCUCACCACAUGUCCAUUAGGGUUUUUCUGUUCUGUCCGCUAGUGCAGUGCAUUUUAAUCCCGAUUUG